AAGGGUUAGUCUAACUAAAACACUUGAUUUCGGCUCAAGAAAUUCUGGUUUAACUCCAGAACCCUUA
rnacentral:tRNA from 1 species